rnacentral:rRNA from 1 species
CCCUUAGAUGUCCUGGGCCGCACGCGCGCUACACUGAUGCAUGCAACGAGUUUAUAACCUUGGCCUGAAAGGUCUGGGUAAUCUUUUGAACGUGCAUCGUGAUAGGGAUAGAUUAUUGCAAUUGUUAAUCUUGAACGAGGAAUUCUUAGUAAACGCGAGUCAUCAGCUCGCAUUGAUUACGUCCCUGCCCUUUGUACACACCGCCCGUCGCACCUACCGAUUGAAUGGUUCGGUGAAGAUCUCGGACUUCGAUAUUUAUUCUUUAUUGAGUUUAUAUUGUGGGAAGUUAUCUAAACCUCAUCAUUUAGAGGAAGGUGAAGUCGUAACA